rnacentral:rRNA from 1 species
GACGAACGCUGGCGGCGUGCCUAAUACAUGCAAGUGGGACGCAAGGGAACACACUGUGCUUGCACACCGUGUUUUCUUGAGUCGCGAACGGGUGAGUAACGCGUAGGUAACCUGCCUAUCAGCGGGGGAUAACUAUUGGAAACGAUAGCUAAUACCGCAUAAUAUUAAUUAUUGCAUGAUAAUUGAUUGAAAGAUGCAAGCGCAUCACUAGUAGAUGGACCUGCGUUGUAUUAGCUAGUUGGUAAGGUAAGAGCUUACCAAGGCGACGAUACAUAGCCGACCUGAGAGGGUGAUCGGCCACACUGGGACUGAGACACGGCCCAGACUCCUACGGGAGGCAGCAGUAGGGAAUCUUCGGCAAUGGACGAAAGUCUGACCGAGCAACGCCGCGUGAGUGAAGAAGGUUUUCGGAUCGUAAAGCUCUGUUGUAAGUCAAGAACGUGUGUGAGAGUGGAAAGUUCACACAGG